UCCAUCGUUUCACAGUAGCCUCUCUAUAAUAUUUAUUAUCCUCGCCCCUCUUCGUCUGGCUACGUGUUUAUCUUUGGCUUGCUCCUUGGAGCCACCUCACUUCCGGCUGCUAAGAAAAUAAUGGAAAGCUUGAUCUAUUUAUCAUCAAACCAGUUUAUUACAGAAUUUGAAACCCUCCACAGAUCAGGAUCAUCUCAUUUGAAUAAAUCCUGACAAGCAGUGUGACGGUUUUGCCUUCUAUAUUAUUUUCCAUUACCACCAAUACAUGUGUUUUUAAGUAAACAUGUAUUUGAAUAUCAUUAAAAACGCUAUUAUGAGCCACAGUCGAUUUAUUGAUACUCAGAAAUAAGCUGCAGGCUUCAUGUAACUCAACAUUUCAGUCAUUAAAAUUCACCACUGUCCUUGUUUCCUGUGGUGCUUUCAUGUUUUUUUUUUCAUGGCGCCAUUAAGACAUUUUAAAACUACGAUCAAUGUCGUUUGAUUGAUUUUAACAUCUAAUAACAGCUAUUCUAACAAGUAUAAAUCGCAGGUAGACCAAUAUUCAGUGGAGAAAAUCGAGUGGUGACGUGUUGGAAAUUUAUCAUCAGUAUUUCAUUUACAGAAUUUAUCUCGAUGAUCUGUACACAUGCCUGAUAUCAGUUACUGUUGAUCCAUCCUGAUUCAACACAUUUCAUGUAUAUUAAGAUGUAUUUUCUACUUAGUAUUGCUAAACCAUAAAAGAACAAACAGACAAACUAAGCAAACACUGUUACCAAAUAACCUGUUUAUUUCAUUGAGCUAAUGAAGUCAAUUAACAUAAUGCCUUGGUACCCACGCCAAAAUUUAAUAUGCCUCCACAAAAUCCACGAGUGCACAAUAUUGUUAAUACAGUGAGUAUUGAAAAUAGUCACUCUCACUUAAUAAUGAUGAUGUUCAUUGUCUGAUUAUAUCAUAAAUGACUACUAUUGCAAUAGAUGUAACAUUCACAAUGUUGUUAGCUUAUGGCAUGUUAAACUUGUUCAGUGAUUGAUCUCCCAUAUCAAAAACUAUCAGGUUGGCAUACAUAACCUUCUCUUAAAGGCAGUAGCUCAGUGUACAUUUCUAGCAGUAGAGACUAUAAAAAGAAAGCAUUUGUUAUAUCUGAGCCUAAUGGUAAACAUUAUCGUGUCUAUAUCUUAAUUGUAAAUAUCUGACAUUGAGACAACAAUGUACGAAAAGUGUUCAGUAAAAUUCCAAUUUGUCUGUCGGACAUAAGGCAGAGUAGUGAAAUAGUUCUGCUUCAUUAAAAACUACACAUACAGAGAAAUAAAAACAUUUGAGAAAACAAUAAAACUUGAUGCAAAAAUUAACAUUUGACAGAUUUAAACUUGACGAUGUAGCCCUCAAUUCUUGCAGUUGUUGUAGCAUUGUCGAGCAGUAGUGUGUCCGUGUUGUUACUGCUACUCGGGCAUUCCUUCUUCCUCUCUUUCUCCAGGUAUUUGCUUGUAAUGUUACUCAACGCUUCAACAACUGAUUCCAGCUGCUGCUGCUGUUGAAUUUCAAUAUCCCUUCCCAAAGUUAAGUGUAAACAGUUCAGCCAUUAAGACCACCUUAAAUUAUAAAUCACUGAGGGGGAGUAAAGUAAAAAAAACAAAA